rnacentral:rRNA from 1 species
UACGAAGGGGGCUAGCGUUGCUCGGAAUCACUGGGCGUAAAGGGUGCGUAGGCGGGUUUUUAAGUCAGGGGUUAAAUCCUGGAGCUCAACUCCAGAACUGCCUUUGAUACUGAAGAUCUUGAGUCCGGGAGAGGUGAGUGGAACUGCGAGUGUAGAGGUGAAAUUCGUAGAUAUUCGCAAGAACACCAGUGGCGAAGGCGGCUCACUGGCCCGGUACUGACGCUGAGGCACGAAAGCGUGGGGAGCAAACAGG